GCUUGAAUAGUUUAAUCAAAACUUUGAUUUGUGGUGUCAAGGAUGUAAUUAGUUACUUUGGGCA
rnacentral:tRNA from 1 species